rnacentral:rRNA from 1 species
UACGGAGGGGACUAGCGUUGUUCGGAAUUACUGGGCGUAAAGCGCACGUAGGCGGAUUGUUAAGUCAGGGGUGAAAUCCCGAGGCUCAACCUCGGAACUGCCUUUGAUACUGGCAAUCUCGAGUCCGGAAGAGGUGAGUGGAAUUCCUAGUGUAGAGGUGAAAUUCGUAGAUAUUAGGAAGAACACCAGUGGCGAAGGCGGCUCACUGGUCCGGUACUGACGCUGAGGUGCGAAAGCGUGGGGAGCAAACAGGG